rnacentral:lncRNA from 1 species
GCAGCAAAUUAUGGAAUCCCAUGAUGAAGAGCAUGCUGCCAAACUACUUAGAGCUCAAACCCACAUAUGGAAUCACAUAUUUAGCUUCAUAAACUCCAUGUCCCUUAAAUGUGUGGUUGACUUAGGCAUACCAGAUAUCAUACACAACUAUGGCCAACCCAUGCCACUCUCAAACCUCAUUGCUUCACUACCAAUCCACCCAUCCAAAACUUGCUUCGUCCAUCGCUUGAUGCGAAUCAUGAUCCAUUCUGGCUUCUUCUCUUUACAAAAUCAUGACUUGGAGAAUGAGCUAGAAGCCAAGUAUGUGCUAACCGAUGCAUCUGUACUACUGCUUAAGAACCAUCCGAUGAGUGUGACACCUUUCUUGCAUGCCAUNNNNNNNNNNNNNNNNNNNNNNNNNNNNNNNNNNNNNNNNNNNNNNNNNNNNNNNNNNNNNNNNNNNNNNNNNNNNNNNNNNNNNNNNNNNNNNNNNNNNNNNNNNNNNNNNNNNNNNNNNNNNNNNNNUCACUUGUUCAAUGAUGCCAUGGCAAGUGAUGCUCGAUUUGUCACUAGUUUGGUGAUUGAGAAAUGUAAGGGAGUGUUCAUGGGAUGGAGUCAUUGGUUGAUGUUGGGGGAGGCACAGGGACCAUGGCAAAAGCCAUUGCUAAAUCAUUCCCUCGGGUGGAAUGCAUUGUGUUUGAUCUACCACAUGUUGUUUCUGGCUUGAAAGGAAGUGAGAACCUUAAAUAUGUUGCAGGGGACAUGUUUGAGGCAAUUCCUCCAGCUGAUGCCAUUUUGUUAAAGGUAAAUCACUAUUCACAUUCAGAAUACAAUUUUACAUUCAUACCAUUAACACCCAGUUUUUAUACUUGAGUGAUGUCAAAUUUUAAAGAAUUAAAGCAAAUAAUUGAUCGAUUGGAAAAAAAAAUGAACGAUUUUAUGAUCAUUGAUCACUUGAAAUAACUUCAAAUAUAUAUAUGUAUAUUGUUCACUAAGCUAGUAAGCUAGCACCAGCUAGUAGUCCAACUACAUAUCUGCCACUAUCAUACCAAAUCAGACCAACUAAGUGGUCUAUAUGGCUUGUAAUAAUUAGUACUAGUUUACUAAGUGGGUACGUAAAGUAACUAGCAUAUGAUUAUUUGAAAAGUAAAUCUCUGCUCAUAUUCUAGAAAAAAUAGUUAUAGAUCUCUUCAAAUUUGACUUUUCUUUUUUCUGAAGUAUUGACUAUAUGUUGCGGUUAAAAACAUUACAUGAUGUGCCAAUUCAUUCUACCAAGCUUAAUAUGAAUGCAAGUCAAUAUUUUAUGAUUCUGAUCGGUGUGUUACUUUGAAUGACAAAGCAGUGGAUAUUGCAUGACUGGAAUGAUGAGGAGUGUGUGGACAUAUUGAAGAAAUGCAAAGAGGCCAUAACGAGGAAAGGCAAAGAAGGGAAGGUGAUCAUCAUAGACAUGGUGGUGGAGAAUGAGAAGAGAGAUGAUGAAUCAGUUGAAACACAGCUCUUCUUUGAUAUGCUGAUGAUGGUGUUGGUCACUGGAAAAGAGAGAAGCAAGAAAGAAUGGGCUAAGUUGAUUUCCUCUGCUGGUUAUAACAACUACAAGAUAACUCCAGUCUUGGGCUUAAGGUCUCUCAUUGAGAUCUAUCCAUAGUAAGUUAAUGAGAUGUGCCAGCACUCUAUCAUUCAUAUAUGUUAGGGCUAUAAUUUUUCUGUUUCGAUUCAUGAGUGAAUGUUGGAUAAGUAACAAUAGCAAUAGACUGAACUCUCUUCAUCAUAGUUGUGUUGUUGGAACAGUACUGUCAAGAAAGGAAAAAAAAAAAAUCUGAGGAUAAGUAUAGUUUGCGUGGUAUAUAUAGCAGGUGAAGAAAAAAAGGAACAUGUGGUUAAAGAGCACAGUGAGUUUGGCAAUUACUUUUUUUUUUGGUAACUGAAUUUGCCUUGUAUUAGAUUUGUGAAGAACUAAGUUUGUGAGAGUUGUUAUUGAAUAAGAUUGUUUCUAAAGGUUUGAUAAAGGUAUAAUGGUUUAUCUAAAUACAUUUCAAUAUUUUAGUAUUUUAAUUAAGUUCAUAAUGAUGUGAUUAUGUGUCAUGUCAAUAAAGAUAUAUCAUUAAUCUCAUCUUAAUAAUAGUGUCAUGCAAACAAUGAAAUUAAUGAGACUAAAAUAAAAUAAAAAGAAUUUUAUGGAGACAUAAAAUAGAUAAAAUAAAUAUUACAGAAACUAAAAAUGAAAAGAAAUUAUAAGAAUAAAAAAAAAAGAAUUUGCUUAUAUCUUCAAAGGUCACUUUAAGUUGUUUAUAUUUUUUAUUUUAAAUAUUGGGUUGCACCAAAGAAAUGAUCAUUAUAUUCAUGUUAAGAAUAAAUAAAGCAAAACAUAAUGACCAAAAAAUAUAGCAAAUUAAAUCCUAUAAUUUUUCUUUUGGAUGAAGUAUGAAUAUAAAAAGUAAGAGACAACAAAGUUUAAGACAUCACGAAAGAAUUUUUCAUAAAUUUCUCUAUAAUGACUUUAGGAUAAAAAUCUCAUCUUUGACUUCAAAACACUUGAACACAUAUCCUAAUUAGCUAAAGUAUCAAUCACAUGAUUAGAAUCAUGUGACAUAAUUGCAACUAACAAAGUUCAAAUGUUUCUUACUAAUGCUAUUAAAUAAAAUAAGAUUAAUUGAAAUUUAUUUGUAUUUGAAGUCAAGACUGUUAACUCGUUGACAAGUGUACCAAAUUUGUCACAAGUAAUAAAGUACUCGGAAGUCCGAGUGUCGAAUCCACUGGGAUUUUGUGUUGUACUUAUCUUGGAUACUUUUCAAUUUAUAAGGAAUUAAAAGAAAAAGUAGAAGGCAAUAAUAGUAAAUUAUAAAUAGAAAGCAAAAGAAUUAAAAGCAAAAUAAUUAAAGAGAGAAUUCAAUGGAAUGCGAAUGUUAGGACCUAGCAUGCCUUGUUUGCCUAGGAUGUAUGAAUUUAUGAUUUUUCUUCACCAAUUUAGGUGAUUCUAUUCUACCCACAUCUGUUCAUUUACUUGCCCCUGAUUCCUCACGAUGACAAGUCUAUUUUAUUCAUUUAUCUCCCAAAUUCCUUUGUAAAAACUCAACAAAUAAAAUGCAUGAAGUAUGAAUUCUAGAUGUUUGCAAGAAUGCAUGGGCAUAAAAUUAUCAUUCUAUUCCUAGCAAUGACUUUCUUAUGAAAUCCUUUCUUUUUGUUCUAUUAGAAGUUACCUUCUUCCGAGUGUCUAACCCCUAAAACUAAUGCAUGCAUACCUUCUUUAAAUCUUGUUUAGAAGUUACCAUCUCCCGAGUGUCUAACCCCUAAAAGAAUAUAAAGAUGAAUAAUGCAAGAUAAAAACAGAAAAGAUAAUAGAAUAGAAAAACCUGGAAAAUAAUCCUGUUGCAUUGAUAAAUAUGAAGUACAUCAUACAUUUCUUUGACUUUUUAGGCCUACCAGGCCCUAACUAGGAGUUUAGUCACUCAUGGCCAUUGAGGGCUUUACAAUGAGAAGGGGGUGAAAAAAAGAUGAUAAAAAAAAGGAAGAGAGUAAAAAUUCUCAGGCUUUGAGUAGUAGUGAGAGUGCUCUCUGAGACUUGGUGUUUUCCUCCUUGGCCUGACUCUCUAUCUAUAGCUGAUGAAGUGGACUUGGGCUUGAUUCAAACAAUCUUCCUUAUCUAUCUUUUUUAUAUCUUUUGGAUCUUGUAAAUCUUAUCUUUCCUAUAUCUGCAAGUCAUAGAUAAGAAAAUAUCAAUUCAUAUCUUUUAAGUCAAAAUUAACUGCUAAAUAAAUAUCUUUAAAGAUAUUUUCAAAUUAGCUCAUAUUUAACAGUUAUCAAUAUCUUUUAGAUCUUGUAAUCUUAUCUUUUUAUAUCUGCAAGCCAUAAAUAAUAAAAGUAUCAAUUCUUAUCAUUUAAGCAAAAAAAUAACUGUUAAAUAAAUAUUUUCAAAGAUAUUUUCAAUAUAUUUUUAUUAUGAAAUAACUCAUAUUUAACAGUUAUCAAAGACACAGAUAUAUUUUUUUGCUUGCAUUCGAAAUCAAAGAAAGCAAGUACAUCUAAGCGCUUAAUGAAGAUGGUUGGAGGUAGACAGAGGUGAAUUCACAUAUAAGCUUGUUUCCCCAGUAUGAAUUUUUAUACUUGAAUAUAAUACUCCUAUUCAUGUGGGCAUAGAUGCAAAAGUUUGAGAUGAGGAAGGUCACAAGCUUGGAUAGGUUUGGAAGAUAAAUGGUUUGUGAGAAUAUAUAAAUGCUAAAUUAAAACAUAUUAUUGGAAGACAGUUGAAGGAUUGACGUCGGAGUAGUUAGUGCAGUGGAAAUAAAUGCCAUUAUUGGAGGACGGUUGAAAGAUUAGCGUAGGUGGGGCUAGUUAUUUCGGUGGGAAUAAAUGCUAAAUUAAAACAUAUUAUUGGUGGAAAUUUGGGAUGGAAAUGAGUCACGCCGCUUGUCAAGGGCCUUUUGCUCGACCUAUUUAAGACUUGGUUUGACUUGACUUGUUUAUUAUAAAGGUCAAACUUAAGCUUUUUAAAAAGCUAUUUUAGAUAAAAAUGACAAAGGCAAAUUAUAAAAAAUAAACUUGUUAAGCUUGACAAACCGGCUUGUUAAGCUUGACAAACUGGCUUAUUUAAGUAAUAAUAAUAAUAAUAACUAUUAUCUAUACCAUUUUUAUGGAAUUAUGAAUGACAGGCUGAAGCGACAUAAGGUGCUUAGAGAAUUCACUUGCAUGUGAAAAAUUUUCAAAAGAAAAGAUUCAAGUUAAAGGAUCAAGAAAUCAGAUGAAUACUUCAAAUGAAAAGAAUGUUUUGUAAAAUAUUGUCAGACAAUGUAAAUAGUUUUAUUUGACUAUAGUAAUAUAAAUCAUCGUUAAUCCAAUAUAUUGUUUAAUAUUAUGCUCUCUUUUUUUUCAUUUUCUUGUGAUAUACUUUGUGUUUUAACAACUUGAAUUUAAUAUGAUUUUGUUUAUCAAUUAUUUUUGGAUUUGUACAUUACUUAUAUGAAAUUUUAUAAGUUUUUUUUAGUUAAUAUUUCACUAGGUUUUAGAACAAUUAAUUGGUCAAAGACGUCUUUAAGCAGAUUUUUAAAUAGGCUCGUAGGUAAAAUCAGACUUCAAUGUGAGUCGAGCCGAGCCUUAAAAAAAAUUCUAUGAUAGGUAAUGAGACAAGCUCAAGUCUUGCUUAUUCAACUCAAGCCGAGCUCAAGCCUAAUAAAGCUUGAUUUGCCUUGACUCAUUUUCACUCCUAGUGAGAAUAGGGGUCAACUUCUAAUUUUACUAUAGGCACUUUAAUUAAUAGGGGUGGGUAAGCGGGUUGGCCCGCCCCGCGUAAGGCUAGUCCGCAUAAGCCCGCAUUGGCAGUGGAUCGGGUCAGCCCGCCCCGCAUUCUUACACUGACCAAAUAUAUUGGUCCGCCCCCGCCCCGCGAACCCCGCGAGUCAAACGGGCCAGUCCGUGGGCCUUGUUUUAAAAGAAUUUCAAUUUCAAUAAAAAUGCAACACAAUCAAAUUAAGUUCAAUACAAAUGUAAAUAAAAUCUUAACAAUUAGUCAAUUACAUCAAUAAAAUAAAUAAUGUCUUACAAAAGAAAAUCCAAGCAAUAAAUUUAAAAUAUGAAACUUAAACAUCUCUAACAACAAAUGAUUCUACAUUUAAAGUAAUAUAAUCCUAAUGCGGGCAAUUCGCAGACCCCGUGGGCCAAACUCGCAUAUUCUGCGGGUUAAGUGGGGCGGAUCCAAAAAUAUGACAUCAUCAUGGACCGUUUAAAAAAAUUGAUCCAUUAUCCGCGCGAACCACGGAACCCGGGGGCCAGUCGAUGGACCUGGGCCUGUUUACCCACCCUUAUUAAUUAGCAAGCUAUUAUAUUAUAUUGGUGGAUUAGGACAUCUAUAGUCCAAGGAAUAUAAAAUUUACCUGACUCUUUGUAACUAUGCAUGUGAUCUAUCUAAUGAAUUCCACCUCCUUUUUAUACAUCAUACACAUGCAAUGUUAAUCACUAUGAUAUAAAACAUUUAAAUUAUAUAUUAUUAUUACUAUGAUUUUUUUAAGAUAGAUAUAUUCAAAAUUAAAAAAAUUAUUAUAUUGGAUGGAUAAUGAUUUAAUAAUAUAGUAAAAUUAUUUUAUACUUGUUGGUGUAUAAUCAUUUUUUCUACAAAUAAAUAAAAAUAAUUAUAAUAUAAAACAUUAAUAUACCAUAAAAAUUAAAUAUUAAAAAAGAAAUGUAAAUAAUCAAUUAAAAUAUAUAAAAUUUAUAACAAUUUAUUCAUAUUUGAGAAAUUUUAAAAAUAUGUAUAUAAAUUAUUUUUCAAAUAAAUAUAUUAUUAAUAUACAUAAUUCAAACUAUGAAAAAUAUAUUAUUGAAAUAUUUAAAACACCAAAUACAUUUUAAAAAUUUGAUUUAAAUAAUAUUAAAAUUAAAACAUAACAAUCUCAAAAAAUAUUUUUAUAAAUCAGUCUUUUGUUGGAGAUAAGAAAAUACACUUUAGUUUUUAAUUCUAAAUAUUUAAUAUUGUAUUUGUUUUUUUCCAUACUGUAAUAUAUAAAAAAAUGUAUAAUCUAUUUAAGUUUUAGUAUUUUAUAGUGAAUUUCAAUUUGUUAGUUCUUUACAUAUUAAUUUUCUUUUUCAAAUUUUGUAGUAUCAUAUAUUACCUUUUUAAUAUUUGAAAGACUUGUAAUAUCAAAUAAAAUAAUAUUGCAAUUAAUGUAUAUAUUAACAUAUAAAAAUGAAUAGCAUAGAUAAAAAAAAAAUCAAGUAUGAUCGACAAUGAAAGUUUAAUCAUUGAAAAAGUUGCAUGAUGUCUUCUCGGGUACACCACUCUACUUCUAUAAGUGGUGCAUUGAUUUACUAGAUAAGUUUUUUUUAAGGAAUCCAUUAAAUGUAUUUUUCUCCAAUCCUGAUAUUAUUACAAAGUUGUUUUCACGUGGUGAUUAAUUUUCAAGAUGAUGAGCACAUACAAGAUAAUUUUCAGGAUCAAGAGCACAUACAAAAUAGCUUAUAAGAUUUUAAGUUACACUACAUACAAUUUGGUCAAAUUUUCUUAUAUUGUAAAAAGUUAUAGAUAAAAGUGAUGAUAAUUGUUGUCACCACUACUGAAGAAAGAAGAUUCUAAAUUGGUUAUUUGGAGCAUUCUACAUUGGUUGAGGAUCGUCGUAGUAGACCACAUCGUCAAAAGGGAAACCUAAUCUAGGACGGUCGCAAAGACUAUCUUAAAAAAUGUGUGUUUCUAAUUGCAGUCCCAAACUUUCCAAAAUUUAAUAUAGUGGUCAAAAUCAUGAUCAUUAACUAUUUUUUAAAACGUAGCUACAGAGAAUAAAGUUGUUGCUUAAACAUCUUCACGCCUAUAAAUAGACCCAAAUAAUGUGAGGUUCCAUACUUCAAAAUCCAAAUCUAGCGAUUAAUUAUAGUUUAGGCAGCAAAUUAUGGAUUCCCAUGAUGAGGAGCAUGCUGCCAAACUACUUAGAGCUCAAACCCACAUAUGGAAUCACAUAUUUAGCUUCAUAAACUCCAUGUCCCUUAAAUGUGUGGUUGACUUAGGCAUACCAGAUAUCAUACACAACUAUGGCCAACCCAUGCCACUCUCAAACCUCAUUGCUUCACUACCAAUCCACCCAUCCAAAACUUGCUUUGUCCAUCGCUUGAUGCGAAUCAUGAUCCAUUCUGGCUUCUUCUCUCAACAAAAUCAUGACAUGGAGAAUCAGCUAGAUGCCAAGUAUGUGCUUACCGAUGCAUCUGUACUAUUGCUUAAGAACCAUCCGAUGAGUGUGACACCUUUCUUGCAUGCCAUGCUUGAUCCAAUUUUGACAAAUCCAUGGAAUCAAUUUUCUACUUGGUUCAAAAAUGGUGACACUACACCAUUUGAAACGGCACAUGGGAUGAUGCUUUGGGAUUACGCUGGCGCUGAUCCAAAACAUAAUAACUUGUUCAAUGAUGCCAUGGCAAGUGAUGCUCGAUUUGUCACUAGUUUGGUGAUUGAGAAAUGUAAGGGAAUGUUCAUGGGAUUGGAGUCAUUGGUUGAUGUUGGGGGAGGCACAGGGACCAUGGCAAAAGCCAUUGCUAAAUCAUUCCCUCGGGUGGAAUGCAUUGUGUUUGAUCUACCACAUGUUGUUUCUGGCUUGAAAGGAAGUGAAAACCUUAAAUAUGUUGCAGGGGACAUGUUUGAGGCAAUUCCUCCAGCUGAUGCCAUUCUGUUAAAGGUAAAUCACUAUUCACAUUCAGAAUACAAUUUUACAUUCAUACCAUUAACACCCAGUUUUUAUACUUGAGUGAUGUCAAAUUUUAAAGAAUUAAAGCAAAUAAUUGAUCGAUUGGAAAAAAAAAAUGAACGAUUUUAUCAUCAUUGAUCACUUGAAAUAACUUCAAAUUUUUAUAUGUAUAUUGAUCACUAAGCUAGUAAGCUAGCACCAGCUAGUAGUCCAACUACAUAUCUGCCACUAUCAUACCAAAUCAGACCAACUGAGUGGUCUAUAUGGCUUGUAAUAAUUAGGACUAGUUUAUUAAGUGGUUACGUAAAGUAGCUAGCAUAUGAUUAUUUGACAAGUAAAUCUCUGCUCAUAUUCUAGAAAAAAUAGUUAUAGAUCUCUUCAAAUUUGACUUUUCUUUUUUCUGAAGUAUUGACUAUAUGUUGCGGUUAAAAACGUUACAUGAUGUGCCAAUUCAUUCUACCAAGCUUAAUAUGAAUGCAAGUCAAUAUUUAUUUCUUUUGUAUGAUUCUUAUCGGUGUGUUACUUUGAAUGACAAAGCAGUGGAUAUUGCAUGACUGGAAUGAUAAGGAGUGUGUGGACAUAUUGAAGAAAUGCAAAGAGGCGAUAACGAGGAAAGGCAAAGAAGGGAAGGUGAUCAUCAUAGACAUGGUGGUGGAGAAUGAGAAGAGAGAUGAUGAAUCAGUUGAAACACAGCUCUUCUUUGAUAUGCUGAUGAUGGUGUUGGUCACUGGAAAAGAGAGAAGCAAGAAAGAAUGGGCUAAGUUGAUUUCCUCUGCUGGUUAUAACAACUACAAGAUAACUCCAGUCUUGGGCUUAAGGUCUCUCAUUGAGAUCUAUCCAUAGUAAGUUAAUGAGAUGUGCCAGCACUCUAUCAUUCAUAUAUGUAAGGGCUAUAAUUUUUCUGUUUCGAUUCAUGAGUGAAUGUUGGAUAAGUAACAAUAGCAAUAGACUGAACUCUCUUCAUCAUAGUUGUGUUGUUGGAACAGUACUGUCAAGAAAGGAAAAAAAAAAAAUCUGAGGAUAAGUAUAGUUUGCGUGGUAUAUAUAGCAGGUGAAGAAGAAAAGGAACACGUGGUUAAAGAGCACAGUGAGAGUUUAGCAAUUACUCUUUUUUUGGUAACUGAAUUUGCCUUGUAUUAGAUUUGUGAAGAACUAAGUUUGUGAGAGUUGUAUUAAAUAAAAUAAGAUUAAUUGAAAUUUAUUUGUAAUUGAAGUCAAGACACAUAUAUAUUUUUUUGCUUGCAUUCGAAAUCAAAGAAAGCAAGUUCAUCUAAAAACUUAAUGAAAAUGGUUGGAGGUAGACAGCGGUGAAUGCACAUAUAAGCUUGUUCUCACAGUAUAAAUUUUUAUACUUGAAUAUAAUACUCCUAUUCAUGUGGGCAUAGAUGCAAAAGUUUGAGAUGAGGAAGGUCACAAGCUUGGAUAGGUUUGGAAGAUAAAUGAUUUGUGAUAAUAUAUAAAUGCUAAAUUAAAACGUAUUAUUGGAAGACAGUUGAAGGAUUGGCGUUAGUGUAGUUAGUGCGGUGGGAAUAAAUGCUAUUAUUGGAGGACGGUCAUACGUGGAGCUAGUUAUUGCGGUGGGAAUAAAUGCUAAAUUAAAACAUAUUAUUGGAAGGCAGAUUGACUCGUAGAAGUUAUUGUUGUGGGAAUAAAUGCUAUUAUUGGAGGACGGUUGAAGAAUUGGUGUACGUGGGGUUAGUUAUUGCGGUGGGAAUAAAUGCUAAAUUAAAAUAUAUUAUUGAUAGACACUUGAAGGAUUGGCGUCAGAGUAGUUAGUGCGGUGGGAAUAAAUGUUAUUAUUCUCAUCUUAAUAAUAAUGUCAUGCCAACAAUGAAAUUAAUGAGACUAAAAUAAAAUAAAAAGAAUUUUAUGGAGACAUAAAAUACAUAAAAUAAAUAUUAUAGAAACUAAAAAUGAAAAGAAAUUAUAAGAAUUAAAAAAAAGAAUUUGCUUAUGUCUUCAAAGGUCACUUAAAGUUGUUUAUAUUUUUUAUUUUAAAUAUUGGGUUGCACAAAAGAAAUGAUCAUUGUAUUCAUGUUAAGAAUAAAUAAAGCAAAAUAUAAUGACCAAAAAUUAUACCAAAUUAAAUUCUAUUUUUUUUUCUUUUGGAUGAAGUAUGAAUAUAAAAUUAAGAGACAACAAAGUUUAAGACAUCACGAAAGAGUUUUUCAUAAAUUUCUCUAUAAUGACUUCAAGAUAAAAAUCUCAUCUUUGGCUUCAAAACACUUGAACACAUAUCCUAAUUAGCUAAAGUAUCAAUCAUAUGAUUAGAAUCAUGUGACAUAAUUGCAAGUAACAAAGUUCAAAUAUUUCUCACUAACGCUAUCAAAUAAAAUAAGAUUAAUUGAAAUUAAUUUGUAUUUGAAGUCAAGACACAUAUAUUUUUUUGCUUGCAUUCGAAAUUAAAGAAAGCAAGUUCAUCUAAACGCUUAAUGAAAAUGGUUGGAGGUAGACAGAGGUGAAUGCACAUAUAAGCUUGUUCUCACAGGAUAAAUUUUUAUACUUGAAUAUAAUACUCCUAUUCAUGUGGGCAUAGAUGCAAAAGUUUGAGAUGAGGAAGGUCACAAGCUUGGAUAGGUUUGGAAGAUAAAUGGUUUGUGAGAAUAUAUAAAUGUUAAAUUAAAACAUAUUAUUGAAAGACAGUUGAAGGAUUGGCAUCAGAGUAGUUAGUGCGGAGGGAAUAAAUGCUAUUAUUGGAGGACGGUUGAAGGAUUAGCGUAUGUGGGGCUAGUUAUUUCGGUGGGAAUAAAUGUUAAAUUAAAACAUAUUAUUGGUGGAAAUUUGGGAUGGAAAUGAGCCACGCCGCUUGUCAAGGGUCUUUGGCUCGACAUAUUUAAGACUUGGCUUGGCUUGGCUUGUUUACUAUAAAGGCCAAGCUCAAGCUUUGUAAAAAACUUUUUUAGAUGAAAAGGCCAAAGGCAAAUUAUAAAAAAAACUUCUUAAGCUUGACAAACCGUCUUGUUAAGCUUGACAAACUGGCUUGUUUAAGUAAUAAUAAUAAUAUUAAUAAUAAUAAAAACUAUUAUCUAUAUCAUUUUUAUAGAAUUAUGAAUGACAGGAUGAAGUGACAUAAAGUGCUUACAGAAUUCACUUGCAUGUGAAAAAAUUUUAAAAAGAAAAAGACUCAACUUAAAAGGAUAAAGCAAUCAGAUGAAUACUUCCAAAGAAAAGAAUGUUUUCUAAAAACAUUUUCAGACAAUUUAUAUAUUUUUAUUUGAUUAAAUUAAUAUAAAUCAUCUCUAAUCCAUAUAUUUUUUUAAUAUUAUGCUCUCUUUUUUUUCAUUUUCUUUUGAUAUACUUUGUGUUUUAACAACUUGAAUUCAAUAUGAUUUUGUUUAUCAAUUAUUUUUGGAUUUGUACAUUACUUAUACGAAAUUUUAUAAGUUUCUUUUUUUAGUUAAUAUUUCACUAGGUUUUAGAACAAUUAAUUGUUCAAAGACGUCUUUAAGCAGAUUUUUAAAUAGGCACGUAGGCGAAAUCAGGCUUUUAUGUGAGCCGAGCCGAGCCUUUAAAAAAAUCCUAUGACAGGUAAUGAGCCAAGCUCAAACCUUGCGUAUUCAACUCAAUUCGAGCUCAAGCCUAGUAAAGCUUAAUUUGGCUUAACUCAUUUUCACCCCUAAUGGGAAUAGGGGUCAACUUCUAAUUUUACUACAGGCACUUUAAUUAAUAGGGGUGGGUAAGUGGGCUGGCUCGCCCCGCAUAAGCCCGCAUUGGCAGUGGACCGGGCCAGCUCACCCCGCAUUCUUACACGGACCAAAUAAAUUGGUCCGCCCCCGCCCCGCGGAUCCUGCGGGUCAAACGGGCCAGUCCGUGGCCCUAGUUUUAAUAGAAUUUCAAUUUUAAUAAAAAAUACAACACAAUCAAAUUAAGUUCAAUAUAAAUGUAAAUAAAAUCUUAACAAUUAGUCAAUUACAUAAAUAAAAUAAAUAAUGCCUUAGCAAAAGAAAAUCCAAACAAUAAAUUUAAAAUAUGAAACUUAAACAUCUCUAACAACAAAUGAUUCCAUAUUUGAAGCAAUAAAAUCUUAAUGCGGGCAACCAGAAGAUCCCGCGGGCCAAACUCACAUAGUCUGCGGGUUAAGUGGGGCAGACCCAAAAAUAUGACAUAAUCAUGGACCAUUUUAAAAAAUUGAUCCGUUACCCAAGCGAAUCGCAAGCCCCGCGGACCAGUCAAUGAACCUAGGCCCGUUUACCCACUCCUAUUAAUUAGCAUGCUAUUAUAUUAUAUUGGUGGAUUAGGACAUCUAUAGUCCCAGGAAUAUAAAAUUUACCUGACUCUUUGUAACUAUUAGGGGUGGGUAAACGGGCUCAGGUCCAUGUAUUGACCCACGGGGCCCGCGGUCUAUGAUUAUGUCAUAUUUUUUGGCCCACCUCGCUUAACCCGUGGACUAUGCGGGUUUGGCCUGCGGGGUCCGCGGGUUGUCCGUAGCCCGCAUUAGGUUUAAUUUGUGUGAUCCUGACCCAAUUAUAUUAGGUUUGAUUUUCUCUUUUUCAAUUUAAACUUUUCUUUUAAAAUAACAGAUAAAGAAAUAUAUUAGAUAUGAUAAAGAUAUAAAGAUAAAAAUAAAAGAUUUAAAUUGAAAGAUGAUAAAGAUAAAAAAAGGAUAAGAUAACAAAAAUAAAAGAUUAAGAUAAAAAAGAUAAGUGAUAACUUGCUAAAAAUCUUUUUUUUAUAUUUUAUCAAUCUUUUUCUCUUUUAAUCUAUCAUUUUCAUAUCUGAAAGUCAUAAAUAAUAAAAAUAUCAAUUCUUAUCAUUUAAGCCAAAAAUAAUUGUUAAAUAAAUAUUUUUAAAGAUAUUUCAAUAUAUGUUUAUUGUAAAAAAUAACUCAUAUCAUAUUUAGUAGUUGUAGCAGGCUAAAAACAUUUUUUCUCCUCACGUGUGCUUAACAAAUAUCGAACUAGGCUUCUUGUUGACAACAUACAAGCCUUGAUAUAUACUAAAAAUUGGUUACUAGUAUUUGAUAUGCAGGGUAAAUAAUAUGUAAUAAUUAUUGUCUUUUAAUCACUUAGCUUGACUUUAUUCUAAUAUUUUAUUAUUUUGAGUUUUAGGAAAAGAAGAUGAAGAUAUGGAGAUGGAGAAGGCUCAAGCUACUUCAAAUAUGAAAUCAUUUGUUGUUGGAGAUGUUUAAAUUUCAUAUUUUAGAUUUAUUGCUUCGAUUUCUUUGUUAAGACAUUAUUUAUUUUAUUGAUAUAAUUGACUAAUUAUUGAGAUUUUAUUUAUCUUUGUAUUGAACUUAAUUUGAUUGUAUUAUAUUUUUAUUAAAAUUAAAAUUCUUUUAAAAUUAGGCUCGCGGACUGGCUCGUUUGACCCGCGGGAUCCGUGGGGCGGGGGCGGACCAAUUUAUUUCGUCUGUGUAAGAAGCGGGGCGGAUUGGCCCGAUCCGCUACCAAUGCGGGCUCAUGCGGACGGGCCUUACACGGGGCAUGCCGGUCCGCUUACCCACCCCUAGUAACUAUGCACGUGAUCUAUCUAAUGAAUUCCACCUCCUUUUUAUACAUCAUACACAUGCAAUGUUAAUCACUAUAAUAUAAAACAAUUUAAUUAUAUAUUAUUAUUACUAUGAUUUUUUUAAGAUAGUUAUAUUCAAUAUUUAUAUAAUUAUUAUAUAGGAUGGAUAAUGAUUUAAUAAUAUUAUAAAAUUAUUUUACAUUUGUUUGUGUAUAAUCUUGUUUUCUACAAAUAAAUAAAAAUAAUAAUAAAAUAAAACAUUAAUAUACCAUAAAAAAUAAAUAUUAAAAAAGAAAUGUAAAUAAUCAAUUAAAAUAUAUAAAUUUUAUAACAAUUUAUUCAUAUUUAAGUAAUUUUUAAAAUAUGUAUAUAAAUUAUUUUUCAAAUAAAUAUAUUAUUAAUAUACAUAAUUCAAACUAUGAAAAAUAUAUUAUUGAAAUAUUUAAAACACCAAAUACAUUUUAAAAAUUUGAUUUAAAUAAUAUUAAAAUUAAAACAUAACAAUCCCAGAAAAUAUUUUUAUAAAUCAGUAUUUUGUUGGAGAUAAGAAAAUACACUUUCGUUUUUAAUUCUAAAUAUUUUAUAAUGUAUUGUUGUUUUUCCAUACUGUAAUAUAUAAAAAAGAUGUAUAAUCUAUUUAAGUUUUAGUAUUUUAUACUGAAUUUCAAUUUGUUAGUUCUUUACAUAUUAAUUUUAUUUUUCAAAUUUUGUAGUAUCAUAUAUUACCUUUUUAAUAUUUGAAAGACUUGUAAUAUCAAAUAAAAUAAUAUUGCAAUUAAUGUAUAUAUUAACAUAUAAAAAUGUAUAGCAUAGAUAAAAAAAAAAAAAAAAUCAAACAUGAUCGACAAUGAAAGUUUAAAUAUUGAACAAGUUGUAUGAUGUCUUCUCGGGUACACCACUCUACUUCUCUAAGUGGUGCAUUGAUUUACUAGAUAAUUUUUUUUAAGGAAUCCAUUAAAUAUAUUUUUCUCCAAUCAUGAUAUUAUUACAAAGUUGUUUUUACGUGGUGAUUGAUUUUCAAGAUGGUGAGCACAUACAAGAUAAUUUUGAGGAUCCAAAGCACCUACAAAAUAGCUGAUAAGGUUUUAAGUUAUACUACAUACAAUUUGGUUAAAUUUUCUUAUAUUGUAAAAAAAUUAUAGAUAAAAGUGGUCACAAUUAUUGUCACCCCUACUGGAGAAAGAAGAUUCUAAAUCAAUUAUUUGGAGCGUUCUACAUAGUGGCCAAAAUCAUGAUCACCAACUAUUUUUUAAAACCUAGCUACAGAGGAUAAAGUCGUUGCUUAAACAUCAUCUCGCCUAUAAAUAGACCCAAAUAAUUUGAGGUUCCAUACUUCAAAAUCCAAAUCUAGCGAUUAAUUAUAGUUUAGGCAGCAAAUUAUGGAAUCCCAUGAUGAGGAGCAUGCUGCCAAACUACUUAGAGCUCAAACCCACAUAUGGAAUCACAUAUUUAGCUUCAUAAACUCCAUGUCCCUUAAAUGUGUGGUUGACUUAGGCAUACCAGAUAUCAUACACAAC